GACGAACGCUGGCGGCGUGCUUAACACAUGCAAGUCGAACGGAAAGGCCCUGCUUUUGUGGGGUGCUCGAGUGGCGAACGGGUGAGUAACACGUGAGUAACCUGCCCUUGACUUUGGGAUAACUUCAGGAAACUGGGGCUAAUACCGGAUAGGAGCUCCUGCUGCAUGGUGGGGGUUGGUAAGUUUCGGCGGUUGGGGAUGGACUCGCGGCUUAUCAGCUUGUUGGUGGGGUAGUGGCUUACCAAGGCUUUGACGGGUAGCCCGCCUGGGAGGGUGACCGGCCACAUUGGGACUGAGGUACGGCCCAGACUCCUACGGGAGGCAGCAGUGGAGAGUAUUGCACAAUGGGCGGAAGCCUGAUGCAGCAGCGCCGCGUGCGGGAUGACGGCCUUCGGGUUGUAAACCGCUUUCGCCUGUGACGAAGCGUGAGUGACGGUAAUGGGUAAAGAAGCACCGGCUAACUACGUG
rnacentral:rRNA from 1 species